rnacentral:rRNA from 1 species
GACGAACGCUGGCGGCGUGCUUAACACAUGCAAGUCGAACGGAAAGGCCCUGCUUUUGUGGGGUGCUCGAGUGGCGAACGGGUGAGUAACACGUGAGUAACCUGCCCCUGACUUUGGGAUAACUUCUGGAAACUGGGGCUAAUACCGCAUAGGAGCUCCUGCUGCAUGGUGGGGGUUGGAUAGUUUCGGCGGUUGGGGAUGGACUCGCGGCUUAUCAGCGUGUUGGUGGGGUAGUGGCUUACCAAGGCUUUGACGGGUAGCCGGCCUGAGAGGGUGACCGGCCACAUUGGGACUGAGAUACGGCCCAGACGCCUACGGGAGGCAGCAGUGGGGAAUAUUGCGCAAUGGGCGGAAGCCUGAUGCAGCGACGCCGCGUGCGGGAUGACGGCCUUCGGGUUGUAAACCGCUUUCGCCUGUGACGAAGCGUGAGUGACGGUAAUGGGUAAAGAAGCACCGGCUAACUACGUG